UACGUAGGGUGCAAGCGUUUAAUCGGAAUUACUGGGCGUAAAGCGUGCGCAGGCGGCUUUGCAAGACAGAUGUGAAAUCCCCGGGCUUAACCUGGGAACUGCAUUUGUGACUGCAUGGCUGGAGUGCGGCAGAGGGGGGAUGGAAUUCCGCGUGUAGCAGUGAAAUGCGUAGAUAUGCGGAGGAACACCGAUGGCGAAGGCAAUCCCCUGGGCCUGCACUGACGCUCAUGCAC
rnacentral:rRNA from 1 species